rnacentral:tRNA from 1 species
GGCUCGAUUGUCUAGGGGUAUGAUUCUCGCUUUGGGUGCGAGAGGUCCCGGUUCAAAUCCCGGUCGAGCCC